rnacentral:rRNA from 1 species
GAUGAACGCUGGCGGCGUGCUUAACACAUGCAAGUCGAACGAAGCAUUUGCGACAGAUUUUUUCGGAAUGAAGUUGCUUAUGACUGAGUGGCGGACGGGUGAGUAACGCGUGGGUAACCUGCCUUGUACUGGGGGGUAGCAGCUGGAAACGGCUGGUAAUACCGCAUAAGCGCACAAUGUUGCAUGACAUGGUGGGAAAAACUCCGGUGGUAUAAGAUGGACCCGCGUCUGAUUAGGUAGUUGGUGAGAUAACAGCCCACCAAGGCGACGAUCAGUAGCCGAACUGAGAGGGUGACCGGCCACAUUGGGACGGAGCCAAGGCCCAGACUCCUACGGGAGGCAGCAGUGGGGAAUAUUGCACAAUGGAGGAAACGCUGAUGCAGCGACGCCGCGUGAGUGAAGAAGUAAUUCGUUAUGUAAAGCUCUAUCAGCAGGGAAGAUAGUGCGGGUACCGGACUAAGAAGCUCCGGCUAAAUACGU